GUUUUACCAGCUUCAGCAAUACAUACAUAAAUUUGGAAUAAUAAAGGAAAGAUUAGUAUGGCCCCUUCACAAGGUGGGUCUAUUUUUCCCAGGUUUUUAAUACAUUCUU